rnacentral:rRNA from 1 species
UACGUAGGGGGCAAGCGUUGUCCGGAUUUAUUGGGCGUAAAGAGCGUGUAGGCGGCCAGGUAGGUCAGCUGUGAAAACUCGAGGCUCAACCUCGGAUCGGCCGUGGCGACUCGUGGGCUGGAGCACUGUAGAGGCGGGUGGAAUUCCGGGUGUAGCGGUGGAAUGCGUAGAGAUCCGGAAGAACACCAGUGGCGAAGGCGGCCCGCUGGGCAGUGGCUGACGCUGAGGCGCGACAGCGUGGGGAGCAAACAGG